rnacentral:lncRNA from 1 species
GGUAGUGACUAUUACAGAUGAAGUGAAGGAUAGAGACCUUAAGAUAACAAAGGUUUCUCAAAGGUGAUUCUAAAAUGUCCCUGUAUAUUAUAAAUAAUUGCUUUAACACAAGAUGUAUAAAAAAUAAGAGGAGCAUUCCAUUUAAGAACCAAUUAUUUAGAAGCCAAAGGAACAGGCCAGAGAAAAUUUGCUUUAAUCAACUGGUUUUAUUUCCUAGAACUGAAAUAUUCUAUGGUUGGUUCUCAGAUCAAACUUCCGAAACUGCAGUCAACAAUUUUUCAUCAGAGCCCAAGGGAGAGGGGAAGGGGUGAAAGAGACAAUAGAUGGAGAAAGGCAUAAAGACCAUUAGGAAGAGGGUGGGAGGAGACACAUCUUCCUCUGUUAUCAGUGGGCUACAUACUAGACCUGUUGAUGGGACCAGGUGAUGGUACCUGAAUGGAAAAUGACACUGUGACGAACAGCAAACCCUGACUACAAGUCAUAAGACUUCAAACAGAAAGGGAGCUUUCCAGUUUGUCUCAGCAAUGGAACAGCAAUGGGAAAGCUAGGGCCAGCGUGGAGGCACACCUAGGGGUAGUUCUUGAAAAUUUUUUUUGGAACUUCCUUUUAUUAAAAAGAUUUUCUAAAAUAUGUGUCUUUUCUUCUACGCCUGAGUGAUAUAUAUGACCGUAGGGUGGCCUUGAGGCUGUGGGGAGAGAAAGCGGCAGCCAAGGAUCUUCCCAGGGCAUCCCAUCAGUGGCCCCAGAGAUCUAAAUGGGACAGAUAUUUCUCACGGUCCCCAACCAGGAUAUUGGGCAAAGUUAAGUUUUCAGAUCUCACAAACAACUUGGAAGCCCCCAAAAUGUUUUGAUGAAAAACGGCAACUCCCAGAACUUCCUGGGUCAGCAAAAGGAUUUGUGGAAGGGGGGGCAUUCCCCACAUGCUGCCCCUUUUCCGUAAAUGUCUGAAGCUGGCAGGUAUGGCAGGCAUGGACAGGAGCUCAGGAAGAUGUCGCUCUCCUGCCCGCUAACUACCACAGCUUGAAGACUGCUCAUCCCAGGCCCUGCAAGUGCCCUCUGCUCUUUAUCUGCCAGGCCUUUCACUCCUACCCAUAUUCCUAAGCAGAGGUUCAUAAUGCCUGGGGAAGCAGGAGGGGUGGAGACGGGUGUCUAGAGGUGAAAACAGCCUGCCUGAACCCCAAGUCGGAAACGGAAUCAGGCAACGAGUGGGCGGGGGUGGGGUGGGGUGGCGGGUAGAGGGGGGAGAAGAGGGAGCCGGAAGCUGGGAUGGUGGCCUCACUUUAUCCCAGGGAGGGAACUGAGGCCCUGACUCAGAUCACAGAGGCGUGGGGGCACAGAGGUGAGAGUCAGGUGGCCUGCCAUCCUGGGGCCCGGCAGGGCAAAGGAGCGCGGGUUGGAGGAGGACGGGCUGAGGAGAGGGAAAGGCAGUCCCAGUUUGCAGGCCGUGGCCAGAUUCCCCAAGAACGGCCAGGCCGCAGCAGGAACGGGGCAGGGGCUCUUCUGGAAACGCUGCUAACUACAGGCUGUCGCGAUCUCCGCCGCCCGGUGCCUCGGCAUGCCACUCCUGGGAGGCCUCCUCGUCCGCGACUUCUUCCUCCCGGAGCUCCUCCUCCUCUGGCUGAGGCGGCUCGCAGGCCAGGCCCGGCUCGCUAGGGGCGCUGCCGUUCUCCACCGCCACAAGGAACGGACACUCCUCGUCGACGGCCGCCGCCGCCGCCGCCAUCGCCGCCGCCGCCCUCUCCGCCUCCGCCUCCUCCUUCUCCUCUUGGUCGGGGGCUGCCUUCUUGGGUCGUUUGGGGGCGUCCUCCGGCGGGUCCCCCGCGCUCCUCUUCAGCGGCCCCUUCUCCUCCUCAGUGGGCUUGUCGUCGUCCGGCUUCCCCAAUUCGUCGCCGCCGCCACCAGCGUGGGUCGGCUUGUCCUCGUCGCCCUCCGCGGCCUCGGGCUCCGGCCAAGGCCCGUCUCCGCUGCCCUUCUCUGAGGCUAAUGGGCAGUCGGAGGCCUGGACCGUGGGGUUGUUCUCGAUUUCCCACAGCCCCUCGCUGAAGCCGCGCCUCUUGUUGGGCUUGCCGAACUUCUCCUUGCACUCCUUGUACGGGAACAGGCGUUUGGGACUCAGGAAGGCCGUCUCGUGGGUCCCGAAGAAAAACACCUGGUAGCGGUUGGGCUGGGUCAUGUCCUCUAUCCUCGCCGGCCAGUGGGCAUAGCCCUUUAACUUGGCAAACACCAGGUCCCCGCUCUUGUACGUGGGCAUGCUGUAGUCCGACAUAGCUGGUUCUGCGGACCUCGCCUGGGCCACACCGGAAGUAGACGCCGAAGUCUGCGCGCGCGCAGUAAGGGCGGCUGCUGGGCGGGAGUUGUUGAGCGACCUGCUCGAGGGGACCGGCACCACCUAAUGGGCGGGCAACGCUCGGGGCCCCGAGAAGAUCCACUGCGAAGAGUGCAUUAUCUCCCGAACACGCGAAGCCCGUUGGAACCACCCUCGGACGCCAUGAUGUCUAGAAUGCUGGAGGAAAUAGCUGGGAUGGCCGGGUGGCAGUUGUGCUUGUGGUGGCCUUGUGCUACUGAUCAAUCUCUACGGCACCUGGGCCAGAUGGUUGCACAGUUUAAAUAAAUGGUGCCAGAGCGGCCUAGAAAGGGGGCAGUGUGACAAGAAAACACAGUGACACAGUUAGUACAUAUUUCCAUGAAACUAGUAACAGCCCAGUGCAAGCAUGCAGUGUCCCUGUA